CGGGCGGUUCGCCGCCCAAGACUCGGCGAGAAGUCCAUUGAACCUUAUCAUUUAGAGGAAGGAGAAGUCGUAACAAGGUUUCCGUAGGUGAACCUGCGGAAGGAUCAUUG
rnacentral:rRNA from 2 species